rnacentral:tRNA from 1 species
GCGGACGUGGUGGAAUUGGCAGACACGCAGGACUUAGAAUCCUGUCUCGAAAGAGGUGAGAGUUCAACUCUCUCCGUCCGCA